rnacentral:rRNA from 1 species
CCUACGGGUGGCAGCCGUGAGGAAUAUUGGUCAAUGGGCGCGAGCCUGAACCAGCCAAGUAGCGUGAAGGAUGACUGCCCUACGGGUUGUCAACUUCUUUUAUAAAGGAAUAAAGUGAGGCACGUGUGCCUUUUUGUAUGUACUUUAUGAAUAAGGAUCGGCUAACUCCGUGCCAGCAGCCGCGGUAAUACGGAGGCUCCGAGCGUUAGCCGGAUUUCUUGGGUGUAAAGGGAGCGUAGAUGGGUUGUUACGUCAGUUGUGAAAGUUUGCGGCUCAACCGGAAAAUUGCAAUUGAUACUGGCAGUCGUGAGUACAGUUGAGGUAGGCGGAAUUCGUGGUGUAGCGGUGAAAUGCUUAGAGAUCACGAAGAACUCCGAUUGCGAAGGCAGCGUACUAAACUGCCACUGACAUUGAUGCUCGAAAGUGUGGGUAUCAAACAGGAUUAGAUACCCUUGUAGUC